rnacentral:rRNA from 1 species
GAUGAACGCUGGCGGCGUGCCUAAUACAUGCCAGUCGAGCGAACAGACGAGGAGCUUGCUCCUCUGACGUUAGCGGCGGACGGGUGAGUAACACGUGGAUAACCUACCUAUAAGACUGGGAUAACUUCGGGAAACCGGAGCUAAUACCGGAUAAUAUAUUGAACCGCAUGGUUCAAUAGUGAAAGACGGUUUUGCUGUCACUUAUAGAUGGAUCCGCGCCGCAUUAGCUAGUUGGUAAGGUAACGGCUUACCAAGGCAACGAUGCGUAGCCGACCUGAGAGGGUGAUCGGCCACACUGGAACUGAGACACGGUCCAGACUCCUACGGGAGGCAGCAGUAGGGAAUCUUCCGCAAUGGGCGAAAGCCUGACGGAGCAACGCCGCGUGAGUGAUGAAGGUCUUCGGAUCGUAAAACUCUGUUAUUAGGGAAGAACAAAUGUGUAAGUAACUAUGCACGUCUUGACGGUACCUAAUCAGAAAGCCACGGCUAACUACGCA